UCCGUGGUAGCCUAGUGGUCAUGGCCGCGGACUCGUGUUUCGUCGUAUCAAGUUCGAGCCUUGAUGCCACUAAA